UAGGCGGGGCAGCCGGCGGCCGGAGGCGGGGCCUGGUCGCAGGGCCCCACAAGCCUCCCCGACCCGGCGUGGGCCUGCUGUGGUCGCACCCACGGGACUCAGUCCCCUCCCCUCCCGCGGGCGCCGGGAGGCCCUUCGACGAUCCCAUGUGCACGCCGACCCGAGGACCCCGGCGGCUUGCGGGGCUCACCGCCCGGACUCAGGAAAAGUGGGAAGGAAAGCAGAGCUGGCGGGGUCAUCUUUGUCCCUUUUCCAGAACGGAACGCCGCACUGAGCGAAAGGCGCAGCGACCUGACGCUAGAAACCCAAGGCCCAGGCAGCGGGUCGUCGUGGGGCCGCACCCUUCGCGGCUCCAGUGUGUCGUGGGACACUCCGGACUCCCUGGGCCCUUGUUUCAAGAGUUGGCAUUAAUCGGGCAUAUUUAGGGACAAUACUUGUGAUUUCCAUGGCUCAACGUCUGUCUGCUCUUGGAUCCUCUGGAGGCCUGCUAGAUUUCAGACUCUCAGAGGUUUGGCCACUGCACUCCCAACCCCUAAAGUAAAGCAAGGUAGAUGAAUUAUUAAACCACACCGGGCCAUUAGCAUAUUGGGCCUUACCUCUCUGGGCUCUUGAGCAAUUAAAUGCUUUAUUGAAGAGGCAAAAAACAUGCACGAAAAAGAGGUGGGGGUAGCAGCCUGAAUGGGCCCGUGAGUCCUCUCAGAAAAGGCUUUCCGCUGUCAUGGUGAAUUACACACUAGGUUCGCUGAGAAAGCUGGAAGAGAAUGGCUAAACAGCAUAGAUAAGCCGUCUUGUUGAUGUGGGCCGGGGAGCUGUGCCGUCUCUGUUUCUACCUGCAGAAGGACAGAGCACAAGGAGUGACUAAUCCAGGCUAAGAGGAGGGAGCUUUCACUAGUCCUCGGAGCUUGUCGGCAUCUUCAAGUGCACAUGGCUGCGUCUCCGGGAGGUCACUUCCAAGAUUUUAUGAAUCUCACAUCUUACACUGUUGGAUUGUGUCCUUUCCCACAACAUUGUGAUUCGAGGUGUUGUCCGGCGCUGGAGUACUUUGUCAAGGAAGGGCACUGAAAUAACAGGAUAUUUUUAUUCAGGUGACAGCAUGGGUGACAACUGAACCGCCCGGAAUUUGCUGCUUAAAAUGGUGAUACUAACAUUACACAUAAUUAUGAGUUCACAAGAACUGUUUUGCCCUCCUUAGUGGUUGCUGUGUAGGGCACAAGAAAAUAUGGCCUAAAUUGAGACACUGAGUAGAUAAGAGAGGGAGUAAUGAAAAAGUUGACCUUUCCUCGUUGCCUUUUUUGUCAAAGGAAAAGUGUUCUCAGUGUUGAGCAACUAAAUAGAAAGAGCCUUGUUCCAGAAACAUAGAGGCCCCUCAUAACACACCACAUAGUUCUGACUCUUUUCUGAGCCGGGUCAUGGCAGAGACAGCAAACAGGAGCUGCUGGUUUGGAGCGGGGUCCGUCUCAGAGAGUACGUCCUCCCCCUACCACAGUCAAGAUUGAAAGAAGAUAUUGUAUAGUCCAAGGGGUCCAAACGCUUCCCUGGCCAUGCUGAAACCUCUCCUCUCCCUUAAGGCCAGGAAGACUGUCCUCCCCGCGGUGGAACACAUCCCUGUGGAGGCCCUGCUGCUCACCUGACACCCCGUAUCAUUCCUGCCACCUGAUCCCUCCUCAUUGUUUUCUUUCCACCUCACAAGACUUCCCAACAUCUGUUGUUACCUGCGUCAUCUUUGAACAUUCUCAUGUCCUUUAGCACGCAGCUGUGUCUCUGGAAUCUGCCUCUUUUCCUGUAUCACCCUUUCUGCCCUUUCUCCUGGCUUGGGCACAGGUCUUAAGCUGCAGAUAUAAAACAACACGCAGAGAAGCUGAGGAACGGGACUGCUGUGUAGACGCUCUUUCAGAACUCCACGAAGGAUUCUGCCUUCCCUGAAGGAUACUCCACAAGUCUCAGAGCUGUCCCUGGAACAGAGAAGUGCUCGAUACAUAUCGACAAAGAUGAGUGUGCCAAACACCAUCUAAGAGAAACAUGGCUAGUUUCUGAGCUGUCUCCUGUGUCCUGCUCCCGUCCGGGCCUGGUUUGAUCCCGCAGCUCCCAAGAGCGGGCCAGUCCUUCUACACCCUUCUGUCAGUCUUUUGGGGUGCUGAUGGAAACUGCUGUGCUGGCGAGGCAAGAGCCAAGGUCCCCUCCACUCUCCUGUGCCUCUCACGUGACUUCCCUCUCCUUUCUGUGCGAGGGCCUUCCUGCCCUUCCUAUGAGGAAGGCAUGAGAUCCAGAUAAGAAUAAUCAGCUCACCCUGUGUAGCCGCAGCUCCCCAGCUUAUCGGCUUCCCCCAUACAUGGACAUAGCACAAUGAUUAAUCACCCAACUGCUUCCAGGAGAAGGAUCUUGGGGGUUCCGAUUAUUUAAACUUCAGCACCUCUUCCUGCUAAUCUUAGUUAUGUGAUAUUUCUAACACGGAAAUAAAUGGCAUUUUCUGACAGUAAUCCACUCAUUAUCCCAAGAAGUGAAACCCAGGCCAAAGAGAUAAAGGUUUAGAGAUGUUUUGAACUGUGUACGGAUUACAUAUAGGAUAGGUUCAAUGGUGGGGUACUUCGCUGUUUGGGGGGUUUGCUCCCUGAGCCUUCAGGCUCAAGAACACCAUGGUCUUUUCCCUGCCCCAUCCCUGGUCACUGCUGCUCGCAGAAUGCUGGGCUGGUGCGAGGCCGUCGUCCUCGGAAAGUAUGGCAAUGACAGGAGGCAGAUUUUAAGACGGGGAAACCCAGGAAGAAAUGGUGUGUGAUCAGAGUGUGUUUCGAUGAGACAAGAUAAUCAUUUCUAAAGAAAUAAUUUUUAUGAAAUGGCUAUUGAAUCUUUUUUAUGCCCGAUAAUACAAGGAAACGAUCUUAAGUUACAAAUCAAUAGCUUGACUCGGAACGUGCUCCUUGAUGAGCUAGGAACAGGCCAUAGGCAUGCGGAAUGGAGUCCUUGGAAGCAGGGAGGAGGGAGGGGACGGUCACGACUGUCUCUAAGAGAAAGAGAAUCCUUUGCUGUGGCUGGUUUUAACUGGACAUUGGCCUGGAAAUAGAAAAUUAGAAGCCCCAACUACUUUAAUUCAGCCUUAAUUUUUAAAAAGCCUAAUUAAAAAAAAAAGUGACUCACAAACUGUGGUACUAAAAGAGAAACUUUAAGAGGGAAAAGUUCCUGACACAAAGACUUUAGCUAAUAUAAACUAUCAGGGCUACUUUCACUUUUUUUUUAAUAAUGAAAUAGAAGGAAUUGUAUUUAGCUGUCAAACCACAGCACGUAGAGAAUGUUAAUUAGGAAGGCUAAAGAUUUAACUUAAAUGUAAAUCUCUACUAAUUAUUUUAUCACGAAAUUGACUUCCUGACUAGAUUGUUAAGACGCUCUGCUGUGAUAUUCUGCUUUUAAAAGGUGUACAUUGACCUCCUCUGUGAAAUAGCACUUUAUUUCCUAUUAGGCUUGCUUUGGGAGACUGUGUCUAGAACAUUUGCUAAGGCAAACUGUUCACUUAAAGGUAUGAGCUGUUUCUUAUGGGUAUAGACUUUGUUUAUCGCGGUUAAACAUUGAUCUUAUUGACUUUGACCUCACAGGUUUUGUUCUAAAUAAAUCAGUGAACACAAAA